AAAAUUGUUGUCUGCCACCAUAAAUCUAAACAUGUACGAAAAAUGUUUCUUUUCAUUCCUUGGAUGUGCAAGAAAAUCUUUUAUGUACCAGAUUGUACAGUUCCUAGUAAUGAGAAAUGGCUAGAUGUUAUACAAUAUCAUACUUCAUGAUGUCACCAACAAUGUCAUGUUCUGAGUAUUGGGAAAUAGUUGGAGACUCAGCAGUGCAGAAACUAGUUUACUCAGAAUGUGUGUUCCAACUCACGGAUGAUAUUGUCAGAUAAGAGCACAUUGCCAUUGGCAAGUUGCAGACGUUGACUUUCUGAAUUACAGAAAAUAGUUUCAGUCAGGAUACCAGAAAGCAUCAGGACUUCCAGGGCAUGGCUAUAGCUCCUGAAAGAACAUUAGAAACACUUGAUUAUUUGUGUGAAAUACUUUGAAAUAAAAAAGACUCUUUCUGCAUGAUUUAAUUCCUAAAGAAAAUCAAUAAACCUGAAGAAUGAUUUAUAUAUAUAUGCAUAUAUAUGUAAAAAUAUGUUCCAAUAAAAGUAUCAA